UACGACUACAUAUCAGGCAUAUCAAUAAGCGGAGGAAAAGAAACUAACUAGGAUUCCCUCAGUAACGGCGAGUGAAGCGGGAAGAGCUCAAAUUUGAAAUCUUCAAGGUUUUACCUUGACGAAUUGUAGUUUAAAGAAGUGUUUUCUGUUGAAGUUUUCGGUAAAAGUUCUUUGGAAUAGGACAUCAUAGAGGGUGAGAAUCCCGUAUUUGACCGUUACUUUUCCAGCUGUGUGAUACACUUUCAAAGAGUCGGAUUGUUUGGGAAUGCAGUCCAAAAUGGGUGGUAAAUUUCAUCUAAAGCUAAAUAUUGGCGAGAGACCGAUAGCGGACAAGUACCGUGAGGGAAAGAUGAAAAGAACUUUGAAAAGAGAGUUAAACAGUACGUGAAAUUGUCAAAAGGGAAGCGUUUGACACCAGUGUUGUUUUCUCGAAAAUCAAUUAAAAUAAUUGGGAUUUUGUGUUGUAUUGACCUUAUCAGCUUUCUGCACUUUUUUCAUGUUAUUUUUAAUGCACUUUUCGUUUAACAAGUCAACAUCAAUUUCUUUUGUUGUAAAAAGGUCAUUGGAGGGUGGCUUUCUUUUCGGAGAAAGUGUUUAUAGCCUUUGACUCCUGCAAUCGGAGAGACUGAGGUCUGCAGCGUAGAUCCUUCUGGAUUAGAUUCAUUUGUGCUAAGUUAUAGCCUUUUCAUAGACAACUUGUUGACUAUAUUUAGUCUAUGUAGCUUACUCGCUUAUGUAAUUUUACCUACGCUUAGGAUGUUGAACGCGCACAGAGUCUC
rnacentral:rRNA from 1 species